UCCUUUUGUAGAUAAUUUAAGGUCUAGCCUGCCCACUGAAAUUUUAAAUGGCCGUGGUAUUUUGACCGUGCUAAGGUAGCAUAAUCAUUAGUUUUUUAAUUAAAAACUGGAAUGAAAGGUUGGAUGAGAAAAUAGCUGUCUCUAUUAAAUUUAAUUAGAAUUUUAUUUUUAAGUUAAAAAGCUUAAUUAUUAUUAAAAGACGAGAAGACCCUAUAGAGUUUAAUUAUUUAGUAAAAAUUAUAUUUUAGUAUUAAUUUAUUUAUUUUAUUAAAUAAUUUAAUUGGGGUGAUUGAAAAAUUUAAUUAACUUUUUUUAUUUAAGAACAUUAAUUUAUGAAUAAAUGAUCCAAUAUUUUUGAUUAUAAGAUAAAAUUACCUUAGGGAUAACAGCGUAAUUUUUUUAGAAAGUUCAUAUUAAAAAAAAAGAUUGCGACCUCGAUGUUGGAUUAAAAUAAAUUUUUGGUGUAGAAGCUAAAAUAUUAGGUCUGUUCGACCUUUAAAAUUUUACAUGAU
rnacentral:rRNA from 2 species